CAUCGGGUAUCAAGGUAGUCUAGUCGCUGCUGCCAAGCCCUUUAUCUGCUAUCUGUAUUGAAUUGAUUGAGGUGGCGUUUAGGGUUUCAAUUUCACACGGUUCAAUUGAACAAAUCAGAAGAAGAAAAACCACUAGUAGAGUAUUAUUUCCUGGUUGAACUUUCAUCAUAUUUGCGUUCUACUGCUAUUGAAUUGAAAUUUUUUUUUUUGGAAAACAAGUUGAUUUUAUAAAGGGAUUAAGCCCAAAAAAAACUAAGGAGUGCUUUCUGAAAAGAAGAUUGUAUACUAUCGUAUUGCCUUCUUCAUCUAGGGUUUUGUGAUGGAUGGAGGACUUUGAUAACCUUCCGCACCUGCAACAACAGCAACCGGGGGAAGAAGCUGAACUGAAGAAGGAGAUGAAGACAUUGCCUGAUGAUUUUUCUACUCACUGCACGGUGACUAGUAGCACUGACGGCGGCGGCGGCGACACGGUUCAGCUUCCAUGCGAGGGCGACCUAGGUGCAGUCAGACUUUUAGGCGGCUGCAAUCACCCCAGAAGAGCAUGCGGUAUACCAUAAGGAGGUCGUGGACACCGAGUGUUUGGUGUACUGGACCUCCCCUUCGACGUAACUACGUGCGAUGUAGUGCCUUGUCCCACCCACCCCCACCCCGGACAGGGAUGAAACUGUAAACGAAGCUAUUGGUGUUUACAACAACAAUAACGUCACUUCUUACAAGUUUGUCAGGAUCAUUAGAACGAACUGCUUUUGUGUCUAGGAAAGGGAAAGAUCACCUUGUUUGGUUCAAAUUUUUGAAAGUUAUUUUUGAUGUAAUGAGUGGUAAUGAGUAGAGAGAUAGAGAGAAAAUGGUAUUGAGAAACGUGUAAAAAGAAAAAUGAGAUGAGAUGAGAGUUGAACCAAACAAGGUUAUGUUUUUUGGCAGGGGAAGAAGUGGAGUUUUUGCUGUCCUAAGCAUAGUUGUCAGGAUCCACAUCGAUUGACUUGUGGAAAAGUUACAAAUCGUUAAUGGACCGAAUGGUAGAUUGUGUAUUUGGGACCAAAAGCUGAACAUUUAGUAGUAACAAAUUUUCAAGAUUUUUGCUUUUUGCUUUUAUUCAUUCCAGAAUAAUAAAGUCCGAA